rnacentral:piRNA from 1 species
UAAGGUGAUGAACCCCAAAAA